GAUGAACGCUGGCGGCGUGCUUAACACAUGCAAGUCGAACGGAGUUUAAAAUGAAGCUUGCGAUUUUUAAACUUAGUGGCGGACGGGUGAGUAACGCGUGGGUAACCUGCCUUAUACCGGGGGAUAACACUUAGAAAUAGGUGCUAAUACCGCAUAAGCGCACAGCUUCGCAUGAAGCAGUGUGAAAAACUCCGGUGGUAUAAGAUGGACCCGCGUCUGAUUAGCUAGUUGGUGAGGUAACGGCCCACCAAGGCGACGAUCAGUAGCCGGCCUGAGAGGGUGAACGGCCACAUUGGGACUGAGACACGGCCCAAACUCCUACGGGAGGCAGCAGUGGGGAAUAUUGGACAAUGGGGGAAACCCUGAUCCAGCGACGCCGCGUGAGUGAAGAAGUAUUUCGGUAUGUAAAGCUCUAUCAGCAGGGAAGAUAAUGACGUAC
rnacentral:rRNA from 1 species